rnacentral:rRNA from 1 species
UGGGGAAUAUUGCACAAUGGGCGCAAGCCUGAUGCAGCCAUGCCGCGUGUGUGAAGAAGGCCUUCGGGUUGUAAAGCACUUUCAGCGGGGAGGAAGGCGAUAAGGUUAAUAACCUUGUCGAUUGACGUUACCCGCAGAAGAAGCACCAGCUAACUCCGUGCCAGCAGCCGCGGUAAUACGGAGGGUGCAAGCGUUAAUCGGAAUUACUGGGCGUAAAGCGCACGCAGGCGGUCUGUCAAGUCGGAUGUGAAAUCCCCGGGCUCAACCUGGGAACUGCAUUCCAAACUGGCAGGCUAGAGUCGUGUAGAGGGGGGUAGAAUUCCAGGUGUAGCGGUGAAAUGCGUAGAGAUCUGGAGGAAUACCGGUGGCGAAGGCGGCCCCCUGGACAAAGACUGACGCUCCGGUGCGGAAGCGUGGUGAGCAAACAGG